UUCACCGACAUAUUUUCCGUAUGCAAAGUGACCUUAGCGUGACCCUGCUCGUAAAAAUCCGAAGAUCGCAAUACGCAUAGAUCUGUCACUGCAAUAAACUAUUAUCUGAUUGUACAUGUUAUACACGUUCUCAAUAUCCAUGCUUCUUUGUUAAUUGUUGACAAACGGGUGACAAUCGUUAAACUUCGGCUUCAAAACACGAACUUUAAUUACCGGCCAUAUUUUCACAACAAC
rnacentral:lncRNA from 1 species